rnacentral:rRNA from 1 species
CCUACGGGGGGCUGCAGUCGAGAAUUAUUCACAAUGGGGGAAACCCUGAUGGUGCGACGCCGCGUGGGGGAAUGAAGGUCUUCGGAUUGUAAACCCCUGUCAUGUGGGAGCAAAUUAAAAAGAUAGUACCACAAGAGGAAGAGACGGCUAACUCUGUGCCAGCAGCCGCGGUAAUACAGAGGUCUCAAGCGUUGUUCGGAAUCACUGGGCGUAAGGCGUGCGUAGGCUGUUUCGUAAGUCGUGUGUGAAAGGCGCGGGCUCAACCCGCGGACGGCACAUGUUACUGCGAGACUAGAGUAAUGGAGGGGGAACCGGAAUUCUCGGUGUAGCAGUGAAAUGCGUAGAUAUCGAGAGGAACACUCGUGGCGAAGGCGGGUUCCUGGACAUUAACUGACGCUGAGGCACGAAGGCCAGGGGAGCGAAAGGGAUUAGAUACCCAAGUAGUC